rnacentral:rRNA from 1 species
ACGGAGGCAGCAGUGGGGAAUAUUGGGCAAUGGGUGAAAUCCUGACCCAUCAACGCCGCGUGAAGGAAGAAGGUCUUCUGAUUGUAAACUUCUUUUAUAAGGGACGAAUAAAGUGACGGUACCUUAUGAAUAAGCCACGGCUAACUACGUGCCAGCAGCCGCGGUAAUACGUAGGUGGCAAGCGUUAUCCGGAUUUACUGGGUGUAAAGGGCGCGUAGGCGGGGAUGCAAGUCAGAUGUGAAAUCUAUGGGCUUAACUCAUAAACUGCAUUUGAAACUGUAUCUCUUGAGUGCUGGAGAGGUAGAUGGAAUUCCUUGUGUAGCGGUGAAAUGCGUAGAUAUAAGGAAGAACACCAGUGGCGAAGGCGAUCUACUGGACAGUAACUGACGCUGAGGCGCGAAAGCGUGGGGAGCAAACAGGAUUAGAUACCCUGGUA